CGCGUAGGCGGGAUGGCAAGUCGGUCGUGAAAUCCUUCGGCUCAACCGAAGAACGUCGGCUGAUACUGCCGUUCUUGAGGGAUGCAGAGGAGACUGGAAUUCCCGGUGUAGCGGUGAAAUGUGUAGAGAUCGGGAGGAACACCGGUGGCGAAGGCGGGUCUCUGGGCAUCUCCUGACGCUGAGGCGCGAAAGCGUGGGGAGCAAACGGGAUUAGAUACCCCGGUAGUCCACGCCAUAAACGAUGACGACUAGGUGUGGGGUGGUUCAGUCCACUCCGUGCCGCAGCUAACGCAUUAAGUCGUCCGCCUGGGGAGUACGGCCGCAAGGUUGAA
rnacentral:rRNA from 1 species